rnacentral:rRNA from 1 species
GAUGAACGCUGGCGGCGUGCCUAAUACAUGCAAGUCGAGCGAACAGACGAGGAGCUUGCUCCUCUGACGUUAGCGGCGGACGGGUGAGUAACACGUGGAUAACCUACCUAUAAGACUGGGAUAACUUCGGGAAACCGGAGCUAAUACCGGAUAACAUGUUGAACCGCAUGGUUCAACAGUGAAAGACGGUCUUGCUGUCACUUAUAGAUGGAUCCGCUCCGCAUUAGCUAGUUGGUAAGGUAACGGCUUACCAAGGCAACGAUGCGUAGCCGACCUGAGAGGGUGAUCGGCCACACUGGAACUGAGACACGGUCCAGACUCCUACGGGAGGCAGCAGUAGGGAAUCUUCCGCAAUGGGCGAAAGCCUGACGGAGCAACGCCGCGUGAGUGAAGAGGGUCUUCGGAUCGUAAAACUCUGUUAUUAGGGAAGAACAAAUGUGUAAGUAACUAUGCACGUCUUGACGGUACCUAAUCAGAAAGCCACGGCUAACUACGUG